rnacentral:lncRNA from 1 species
AAAAAAAACGUACAAAAGAGGGAGACAAAAAACUAAAAAGGAACCACAUACUUCUAAUAUGCUUUUGCUAGCUAUACGUUUGCCAUCUUCCCAUCGCUCUUAUCUGUAAGCAAUCUUCACUCAUCAACCUCUUGAAGAAGAAACGAGGAACAACGACACAACAUGUGUGUGUAUAUAUACAUACAUAGCCUAAGAAACUAAACAUGUAUAGAUGAAGAUGAUAAGCUAGCUACUACGGUCCGUGGAGGGAAGAAGGGUCAUCUAUUUG